CGGUGAAUCAAGCGUUGAAACAAUUCUUAAAAGCCGACCGUCUCAAAACAGGGUGAAGAGAGCAGCGGAAGAGAGAGACGCUUGGAUGGCAGCAGCAGGCCUGAGCAACAGCUGACAGCAGGCAGGGGACAAGCUGUGCCUGCAGCCACAGCACCAACGGCAGAGAAGGGGAGCCUCUUCCAGAACUCCGCAGUGUGCUUCC
rfam:Tupaia belangeri cont1.776548, whole genome shotgun sequence.